rfam:Ictidomys tridecemlineatus contig109649, whole genome shotgun sequence.
GGGGAUAUAGCUCAGUUGUUAGAGUGCUUGCCUUUCAGGCAAAGGGCCCUGGGUUUAAUCCCCAGUACACCUC